rnacentral:rRNA from 1 species
UACAGAGGUCUCAAGCGUUGUUCGGAUUCAUUGGGCGUAAAGGGCGCGUAGGUGGCCCGACAAGUCAGUGGUGAAAGUUCGACGCUUAACGUCGAAUCGGCCACUGAUACUGUUGGGCUGGAGCACUGUAGAGGCUCAUGGAAUUCCGGGUGUAGCGGUGGAAUGCGUAGAGAUCCGGAAGAACACCGGUGGCGAAGGCGGUGAGCUGGGCAGUUGCUGACACUGAGGCGCGACAGCGUGGGAGCAACAGGG